UACGGAGGGGGCUAGCGUUAGGCGGAAUCACUGGGCUGAAAGCGUGUGUAGGCGGGUCGUUAAGUGUCUUGUGAAAUCCCCCGGCUCAACCGGGGAAUGGCUGGGCAUACUGGCGAUCUUGAGCAGUCUAGGGGCAGAUGGAACAAGUGGUGGAGCGGUGAAAUGCGUAGAUAUCACUUGGAACGCCAACGGUGAAGACAGUCUGCUGGGGACUUGCUGACGCUGAGACACGAAAGCCAGGGGAGCGAACGGG
rnacentral:rRNA from 1 species